GCCGGUGAUUAUCCCAACAGGGUGACACCCGUUCCCAUUCCGAACACGGCAGUUAAGCCUGUCAGGGCCGAUGGUACUGGCACCCAUCUCGGUGCUGGGAGAGUAGGUCGUUGCCGGCC
rnacentral:rRNA from 2 species